CGGGGGAGGCGGGAUCCUGGGCUGUGUCCCGGCGCUCUGUGCCCCGGUUUGCGCUGUUGGAUUCGCGCUCCCGCCCCGCAGCCCCCU
rnacentral:pre_miRNA from 1 species